rnacentral:rRNA from 1 species
CGCAUCUGUGCAUGCAGCAUAUCAAUAAGCGGAGGAAAAGAAACUAACAAGGAUUCCCCUAGUAACGGCGAGUGAAGCGGGAAGAGCUCAAAUUUGAAAUCUUAAAGGGUUUCCCUUUACGAAUUGUAGUUUAAAGAAGUGGUUUCUGUUGAGGUUUUGGUAAAAGUUCUUUGGAAUAGGACAUCAUAGAGGGUGAGAAUCCCGUAUUUGACCUUUACUUUCAACUUUGUGAUACACUUUCAAAGAGUCGGAUUGUUUGGGAAUGCAGUCCAAAAUGGGUGGUAAAUUUCAUCUAAAGCUAAAUAUUGGCGAGAGACCGAUAGCGAACAAGUACCGUGAGGGAAAGAUGAAAAGAACUUUGAAAAGAGAGUUAAACAGUACGUGAAAUUGUCAAAAGGGAAGCGUUUGACACCAGUGUUGUUUUUCUGAAAAUCAAUUAAAGAACUGUUUAUGCUAAGCUGUUUAGACUUUAUCAGCUAUCUGUUUAGUUUUGAGCUUUUCUUUAAUGCACUUUUCAGUUAACAAGUCAACAUCAAUUUCUUUUGCUGUAAAAAAGCUUGAGGAAGGUGGCUUGAGAUUCGUCUUAAGUGUUUAUAGCCUCUUGCCUAUGCAGUCGGAGAGAUUGAGGUCUGCAGCGUAGAUCCUUCGGGGCUAAAUGCAUUUGUGCUAAGUUAUAGCAUUUUAUAGACAACUUGUUGACUAUGAUUUGUCUUGUAGCUUACUCGCUUAUGUUAUUUUACCUACGCUUAGGAUGUUGAAUCUGUGCGAGACUAC